rnacentral:rRNA from 1 species
CAGUAGCCACGGGAAUACGGAGGGUGCAAGCGUUAAUCGGAAUUACUGGGCGUAAAGCGCACGCAGGCGGUCUGACAAGUCAGAUGUGAAAUCCCCGGGCUUAACCUGGGAACUGCAUUUGAAACUGUCAGGCUGGAGUCUUGUAGAGGGGGGUGGAAUUCCAGGUGUAGCGGUGAAAUGCGUAGAGAUCUGAAGGAAUACCGGUGGCGAAGGCGGCCCCCUGGACAAAGACUGACGCUCAGGUGCGAAAGCGUGGGGAGCAAACAGGAUUAGAUACCCCUGUAGUCCCUGUCUCUUAUAC